rnacentral:lncRNA from 10 species
GUAUUAGGUUGGUGCACAAGUAAUUGCAGUUUUUGCCAUUACUUUUAAUUGCAAAAACUGCAAUUAUUUUUGCACCCACCUAAUUGUGCAACUGAAGAACUGCAUUUUAAAUUUUAUUAAAUAGCAAUUAAUUUAAAUAGCCACUUGUGACUCAUGGCUACUCUACUACAGUUCAGAAUUGUAUAAUUUUAGAUUGCUGAAAGUUUUACAUAUCCUCACUUUAAUUACAAGAUCUUUUAAGAUAACUUUGUGCUGUCUAUCCAAAUUUGCACACUUCUUUGGUGAGUUUGGUUGUCUUUCUACUGUGCAAACAUAUGUAGUACUUAAUUUUACUUCUAUAUUUACUUAUAUUGUAACCCUUUUCUAUAUUGGUCAGUUGUCUUUUUUUACCUGUUGGAAAGUGUCAAGUCCCAUUUUUCCAGGAAAGUUUUAAUAGCUUGUCUUUCUCAUUAAUAUGCCUUCCCUUGAGCAUCAAUUACAUUAGUCUAUAUCACAUUAUCUCAUGACAAAUCAUUGCUUACCUCUUGCUCUUUCA